rnacentral:rRNA from 1 species
GUCCACGCCUUAAACGAUGAAUACUCGAUGUCAGCCCGCAAGGGUUGGUGUCCAAGCUAACGCAUUAAGUAUUCCACCUGGGAAGUACGAUCGCAAGGUUGAAACUCAAAGGAAUUGACGGGGGCCCGCACAAGCAGUGGAGCAUGUGGUUUAAUUCGAUGCAACGCGAAGAACCUUACCUGGGUUUGAAAAGCUCUGUAAACCGAUGAAAGUCGGGUAGUGUAACAAUACACGCGGAGUACAGGUGCUGCAUGGCUGUCGU